rnacentral:misc_RNA from 1 species
AAGUCGUAACAAGGUUUCCGUAGGUGAACCUGCGGAAGGAUCAUUGACAAAUCUAAACAUAUUGUUGCUUGGAGAGAGGGUUCGCGCUCUCCCUUCAGGUAUACAAACAUCCUAACCUGUGAAUUGGCAGUACGCAAGUACUGUUUUAUUGGCAGAAGAGUGAUGGCGCAUUGUGUGACUAGUUUCAUACCUUGUCCUUUGCUCCUAAGCCUUUAAACAUUUACGUAAACAAUUGUCUUAACAAAAAAAACAAAAGUACAACUUUUAGCAAUGGAUCUCUUGGCUUCU